ensembl:snRNA U4 U4 spliceosomal RNA
AGCUUUGCACAGUGGCAGUAUCGUAGCCAAUGAGGUUUAUCUGAGCACGAUUAUUGCUAAUUGAAAACUAAAUCUUUAUAUUUUACUUACAUAGGCAUAUUUGUGACUCUGUAUAUAUUUCUUCCAUUUUGGGGACUAA